GACAGAGGUGCCGAGCGUUAGGCGGAAUCACUGGGCUUAAAGCGUGUGUAGGCGGACUUCUAAGUACCUUGUGAAAUCCCACGGCUCAACCGUGGAACUGCUUGGUAUACUGGUUAUCUUGAGCCACUUAGGGGCAGUCGGAACAGACGGUGGGAGCGGUGAAAUGCGUAGAUAUUGCUCGGAAGGCCAAAGCCGAAGGGACCCCACUGGUACGUAACUGACACUGAGGCACGAAAGCGUGGGGAGCAAACAGG
rnacentral:rRNA from 1 species